rnacentral:tRNA from 1 species
GGGAAAGUGGCUCAGUGGUAGAGUACUUGCCUUGCAUGCAUGAGGUCCUGGGUUCGAUUCCUCAGCACCA